rnacentral:miRNA from 1 species
UGGGCUAGGCUGGAGAUCAGGUUUGCCCACUGUCUUGAAAAAGAUGUCUCAGUGAGGAACCCUGAUCUCCCAAUCACAA